rnacentral:rRNA from 1 species
UACAGAGGGUGCAAGCGUUAAUCGGAAUCACUGGGCUUAAAGCGUUCGUAGGCGGGCUUGCAGGCGCGUUGUGAAAGCCCCCGGCUCAACCGGGGAACUGCUUCGCGAACCGCAAGUCUUGAGUCAAGUAGGGGCGGUCGGAACGAUAGGUGGAGCGGUGAAAUGCGCAGAUAUCAGGAGGAACACCGAUGGCGAAGGCAGCUCGUGGGACUAUGACUGCUGAGGACGACGAACGUGGGGAGCAAACAGG